AUUGAACGCUGGCGGCAGGCCUAACACAUGCAAGUCGAACGAGUGGCGGACGGGUGAGUAAUGUCUGGGAAACUGCCUGAGGGAUGGGGAUAACUACUGGAAACUGUAGCUAAUACCGCAUAACAUCAGAUGUGCCCGGAUGGGAUUAGCGUGUUGGUGGGGUAAAGGCGUACCAAGGCGACGAUCCCUACCUGGUCUGAGAGGAUGACCAGGCACACUGGAACUGAGACACGGUCCAGACUCCUACGGGAGGCAGCAGUGGGGAAGAUUGAACAAUGGGCGCAAGCCUGAUGCAGCCAUGCCGCGUGUAUGAAGAAGGCCUUCGGGUUGUAAAGUACUUUCAGCGGGGAGGCGUUACCCGCAGAAGAAGCACCGGCUAACUCCGUGCCAGCAGCCGCGGUAAUAC
rnacentral:rRNA from 1 species